GAAGAACAAAAGGUUCUGGAGUCACCUUUCUUUGCGGAGGAAACCCAACUGGAAUUGAUAAAAUCAGAUGCUGUCUUUUCAGUGGACACCCAGGAUAGACCACUUGAGUCCAUAAAAUCAGGUGGACAGCAUUCAAUAGCUUCUCAUGGUACUAAAAGUCAGCAUGGCAGCAUUACAAGUC